CCUUCCAUUUAUCUUGCGACGACGAGCCUCUUCAAGCACCAGCUCUUCGCACUCGGUCUGUCAAAGACACAGAAUCAUGUCCGACGAAGGAAAACUUUUCGUCGGAGGCCUGAGCUUCGACACCACAGAGGAGUCUCUGGCGGAAGCUUUCGCCAAGUAUGGAAACAUCGCAAAAGUUGAUGUCAUCAGGGACAAAGAAACGGGAAGGUCUCGUGGAUUCGGCUUCGUAAAGUACGAAAAUGCCGAGGAUGCGAAGGAGGGAAUGGAGGGAAUUGGAGGGAAUGAACGGCAAGUCUGUCAAUGGCAGAACCAUUCGUGUGGAUGAAGCCGGCAAGGGUGGUGGUCGCUCAGGUGGCGGUGUAUUCAGAGGUUCCAGAGGCGGUGGCGGAUAUGGUGGUGGAGGAUAUGGUGGCGGUGACAGGGGCUAUGGUGAGAGGAGCUAUGGUGGUGGUGGAGGAGACCGCAGCUAUGGGGGUGGAGACCGGAGUUACGGGGGUGGCGGUGGAUACAGGAGCGGCGGUGGCGGAGGGUACUCUUCUGGUGGUGGAGGAUACAGAGACAAUAGGGGCCAGGGAGGCUACGGGGACCGCUCUGGGGGUUCCUAUAGAGACAGCUACGACAGUUAAGCUGCACAUGAGUAAAAAUCCACCCCUGAUUCAAGAUCAUCCCUUGGCUAGCUGUAUUUAAAAAGCUCCUCAAGAAAUGUGUCCACAUGUUGACCUGAUUUUUGUAGUCCUAUUCUGUGUUUAAGUAGCUCGAGCGUCUUUAAAUUUAGCCAUGAGUUUUGGCCAUUAAUUUACAAACCAUGUUUAAAAAGUUAAUGAUCUCUAAAAGAUGCAUCUCAAUUUGCUCUUAUGGCAUUUAGUUCAAUUGAUAAAGCAUAAUGUCUGAGUUGUUGGUGCUGUAAAAACCAAAACGUUGCUUCACAUGGCUGUUUGUAUAUAAACGCCCACUGUUCUUUACAUUCUACUCCCUGUCCCUAUCAGCACUGACAUCUCCAUUUAAAUCCUUGAUAUUAGUAUUGUGGAUAUCAACGAGGCUUGUUUACCUUCCUGUUUUCCUUUGUUUUAAACGACAAUGUCCGACCUACCUCCUGCCAAGUUUUAAACUGAGCGAGAAAUAAAAUGAUUCCUUUGACAACCUUUAUCUAUACAAUUGAGGUUCUUAAAAUAGUUGAGGGUCCUGUAUGUUCAGUUUCCAAAAAGAGUGAAUUCCUAUCAGACUGGUAAAACUGUUCAUGAAGUUGCAAAUUGCAGCAUGCUACAGUCUGCUCACGGUAUUUUGUUAUUUUGCUCUGCUCAAUGCCUGCAUUUUAAAUGUGCUUGUUAUAAUGGACUGAACACAAAGAUCAACAUCAAUGUUACUGCGAUUCUUGCCCAAUAGUAUUCCACCUGGGAACGAUUUUGUACUUUCUGUUCUUUGUAUCAUCAACAUUGAAGAUUAUUUUGUCAAUUUUGGCUUCAUGGAGCCUAUUAAAAGGAUUUGUUGAAAA